rnacentral:rRNA from 1 species
GACGAACGCUGGCGGCGUGCUUAACACAUGCAAGUCGAACGGAAAGGCCCUGCUUUUGUGGGGUGCUCGAGUGGCGAACGGGUGAGUAACACGUGAGUAACCUGCCCUUGACUUUGGGAUAACUUCAGGAAACUGGGGCUAAUACCGGAUAGGAGCUCCUGCUGCAUGGUGGGGGUUGGAAAGUUUCGGCGGUCGGGGAUGGACGCGCGGCUUAUCAGCUUGUUGGUGGGGUAGGGGCUGACCAAGGCUUUGACGGGUAGCCGGCCUGAGAGGGUGACCGGCCACCUUGGGACUGCGAUACGGCCCAGACUCCUACGGGAGGCAGCAGUGGGGAAUAUUGCACAAUGGGCGGAAGCCUGAUGCAGCAACGCCGCGUGCGGGAUGACGGCCUUCGGGUUGUAAACCGCUUUCGCCUGUGACGCAGCGUGAGUGACGGUAAUGGGUAAAGAAGCACCGGCUAACUACGUG